CAAUGAACAGUUCAAGCAGUGUGAGUUUUCCUGAUGUGCGGAAGUUUUUACAGACAGUUGUUUUGUCUCAUCUCAGGUGAAUAGUUUAUUAGUUGAAGUAAAGAUGAGUUCAGUCCAGAAUCUGAGAGAGUUGAUCAACCAGCGACUAACUGCUGCUGCUGAAGAAAUAUUCACAGAGUUUGAGAAAACCAUCGUCCAGUACGAGGAGGAGAUCGAUCGUCAGCGCAGACUGCUGGAUAACAUCUGGAAACCACAGAUAACACAACACACAGCAGCCCUCCCAUAGCAACAUACUUUAAGGAAGAGGAAGUUCUCGCCAACCAGCAGCUCUGUAACCAGGAGAGGAACUCCAGUCUGGACCAGGAGGAUGCAGAACCUGAAAUCUGAUAACUUUAUAAUCACUCCGUCUUACAAGGAAAGUGACCAUAGUGACCAAAGUGAACCAGAACCAAACUGUGACAAUGUUCCUAUAGGUGAGAGGCCAGAUUAAGAAGAAAGCAGGUAUGUAGAGUUAGGAUCAGCUAGAAAUGCAGAGCUGAAGCCAGAGAAGAAACAACAAGGAAACAGCAGUCAAAGUAACAAUGUAGACAACUCUGUCAUGUUGGAGUCACUGGGAUACUGACACAGGAAAACACAUCUAACACAUGAGGUCUGUGGAACAAUCUUUAGAUGUAUUUCCAGUUUAAAGACCCAUCACAGAAUCCACAUCCCUGAGAAGCCACUCGCUUGUGAAACAUGGGAAAUGUUUAAUUCAAAAAGGUGAUGUGAAAGUCCACACAGGUGAGAAGCUAUACAUGUGGAACACCUGUGGGAAAAGAUACAGUUGAAAGAAUUCUCUUUUGGUUCCCAUGAGAAUCCAUGCAGGAUCACAACAACUUAAGCCUUACCUUUGUAAGAAGUCGUACCCUUGUAACACCACUGGAAAAGGUUUCAGUGAAAAUGAUACUUUAAAAGCCCGUGUGAAGAUUCAGACAAAUGUAAGGUCAUAGUCUGGAAAUACCUGUCGGAAAAAUAAGCUUGAAAAUGGCAUUAAAAAAAUUAGCACAGAUUAAAAGUAGAUCUUCAAUAUUUAAAGUGCCUUUAGAUUAUGCUUCAUCAACAAUGGUGAGGUGUUUAAUCAGCUGAUCAUUAGAAACCCUCCCUGUUGGUGCUCCUAUAUCAGGGCAGUGCAGUAAAACAAUCCACGAAACAGAGCAGCUCCGUCUUAUGAUGCAUCAGCACAUUAGACCCAAGCAACAGUCAGUAACUAAUGUAUUUGACAUCUGAAAAAAAAAAAGUUGAGGAAAUACACUAUUGUUCAAAAGUGUGUGGUCGCCCAGGGAACUUCAUGUUUUCCAUGAAAACUCACUUUUAUCCAUGUGCUAACAUAACUGCACAAGGGUUUUCUAUGCAUCAAUUAGCCUUUCAACACCAUUAGCUAACACAAUGUAGCAUUAGAACACAGGAGUGAUGGUUGCUGGAAAUGUUCCUCUGUACCUCUAUGGAGAUAUUCCAUUAAAAAUCAGCUGUUUCCAGCUACAAUAGUCAUUUACCACAUUAACAAUGUCUACACUGGAUUUAUCAUUCAUGUAAUGUUAUCUUCAUUGAAAAUGCUUUUCUUUCCAAAAUAAGGACAUUUCUAAGUGACCUCAAACUUUUGAAAGGUGGUGCACACAAGAGUUCAUAGACCAGAUGAAGCCUGGACUCUGGUGGUGGUGGAGCAGCGUGAAGAACCAAACUGGAUGUGAUGAAGAUGGAUGUGAUGCAGAGCAGCACUCUUGAUGAGCUCACGGACACUGAUUCAGAUGAAGACUGGAGGUGGGUGAGAUGGAGGAGGGCUGCACCUGUUUGACACUUAAAUGAGAAUUGACAGCUCUAAGUCAAAUAAAAACACCAUGUAUCACUUCACUUGAGAUUAAAUGUGAAGAGGAGAGGAUGCUUCAUGUUUUUCCUUUACUGGCACAAUUUAGUUUUAUUAUAAACAACAGUAAUACAUUUUUUUUAUUAUCUGAGCACUUCAUUUUAAGUUUUGUUGUUUUGGUUCUUUUACAAUAAAGAGGUUAUAUUGAGGGAAAAUCCAUUUCAUUCAUUUUAUUGGUUUAUUUUUGCCCUGUUUUUUUGUUAAAAUUGUUCUUGCAAACUGAAGAAUUUUAGUGGUAUUGAUACCAGCUACCAAAUUUCUUGUAUUGUAAUAUUAUUUGCUGGAGUUCAUGCAGCCCCAGUGUCACUGCAGUAAAAAGAGGCAAACAGAUGCUGAGAUCCUGACAUUCAUGGAUAUUUUUCAGCAACAAGCAAGUCGAGUUCAACAGUAGGGAAAAAGCUUCCAGCAGCUUGUCAGUGUGUUUUUGAACAGAAAGUGUGGGUUUCCUGUCACUGUGGGCUCCUGAGCACGGCAGAGGAGGUCUGUGCAUGAAGUGCCUUUGAUUGUCUGUCAUGUUUGAAAGACAACCUUUCUAUUUUCUCUGAAUAUUCUGUGAUGAGGAGCUGUGGAGAUGAACUGGAUUUCUGCUACUGACAGAACCUGAAUAGUUGCAGGACAGAGAGUCACAGCGUCUCUUUCCAAAGCCAUCAAUGCAUCUUUACAUUGUCAGUAAAUCCUGUGGUCACCACUAUUUCUGCACUUUAAGGGUUGUUAAGGGGCCAUGAGCCAUUAAAUUUGAAGGUUAGAAUAAAUAUCUGGGGCUCCCCAUCAGUCAGUUGUGCAUUCAUAAUUCCAUAAAGUAUAUAUCGUGAAUAAUAAUCACAAUCACUGUUCCCUCUAAGCUGCGCGUGUGCGCAAUUGCGCACUGCUGAAGGCUGGAAUAUACUUUCCGCACGAACGAGCCGCACGGAAAUCCGUGCGAAAGAACGUGUGUGCAUUUAUACUCCGUGCGCAUCUGCUCCCAAACUGCAGGGGGCAGUGUAUCUCAAACACAUGUCUACCUGGUCUACUCUGGUACUAAACUAGAGAAGAAGAAGUUUGCCAUUGUUUACACCACUUACAACACGGCAUUUUACCGAAUAAAAGCACUUCAGCUGUUAGUUUUAAUUUCACACCAUGAAUAGUUCAUAACCCGGUUACCACGGUGAUCUCUGUGUGAUGAAUCAUAUAAGUGCACGUAUUUCUAGACUUCAGCUACGAAUAGGUCCUGGCCCUCCGCCAUGUUUUUCCGUGUGGCUCCGUCAGCGUUGGUUAGAAAAAUGUAGAGGUGCGCGGAGCGGAAAUUUUCCGCACGGAAAGGCCGCUGGAGGGGGCGUGGGUGCGAAAAUGACGUAAUUUUUCCGCACGGAGCCACACGGACCUCGCGGACGCGGUAAGCAUAAAACAAGCUUGACACGGUCUCCGCGCACAAAAAAUCUGCGCUGAGCAGAAAACAAAAAUCCAACCUAAAUUGUAAAUAAAAUAAAGACGUAACAAUUCAUUCUGUGCUAUUUUUCAAUGUGAGUCAGUGAGUGACCGGUGACUGGCUGCUGCAGCCAAUGAUGCGAUUCACAUACGUAUUUACCAUAGACUGUAUAUAAUGGUAUUUACGCAGCUAAUCAACGUCAGGCGUCCUGAUGUGCAGCCAUCGUUGUUCUCAUAGAUACGAAUGAGUAGAUAGGACACGCCCCUUUGAGCUGCGUGCUACAGCGAGGCUAAGCUAGUGGGGGAAAAGUUUCAGUGCAUUCCGUUGAUGUAGACGGCAUGAAAACGGAAACAACAAGUAUGCCGGCUAACUGUGCUGCAUACAAUUACACACUGCAUCGUACGAUUGAGACAAGGAAACUUGGAAUGACUUUUCAUAGGUUUCCCAGAGACUAUGGGUUGAUGAGGAAGUGGAAGUUUGUCGGCUUAGACCUGUGUCAUUCCAUCAGUGUUAAACUUCCCGGCUCAUCUUGGAAGAGUACGUGCCAGAAAGACCACGACCAAGCAGCCUUGAGAUCUUAGACAGCGUCUCCCUGAGGUCCCUCUCUAUCUCCCCACACAUCCACCAACCACUGGAACUCAUCUCCAAAGUUCUGCUGGGCCAGCUCAGCUUCCCCUCAGAAGAAGUGCCGCCACCUGCCAGAUAAAGGAGCCUUUUGAGAGGCAGCUGGCAUCGUGAUUGGACUGUACUUUGGUCUGUUCCAAUCCAGCUUCAGCUCCAGAGACGGCAGGCGGGACGAGUCAACGGAGGCCUGGUGGACGAAGGCAUGCAGCUGAGUACAAUCCAGAAAACAACAGAAGAGGAGUGCAGCAGACCAGAGCCAGAACAACCAGAGUAGCAUCACCAAAGAACUACAGACUCUUCACAACCUGCUCAAACUCUUGGUACAGGACCUCACCACACGGGUCAAGAAGGUUUCCAUCUCAUUUCUACUCUGAAGCUCACCUUCUCCUGCUCAAACUACUGACAAAUGUUUCUGCUGCUCUAAAGUCUGGUCUCCAGAACUUCCUAAAAACCCUCAAAGUCUCGUCUGCUGCAGGUUGCUUUGUAGAACUGUUCCAGAAAACCUCACUAAACCACAUGGAGGGGCCUCAAGAUAGUCGUCCAAAUGAAACCAUACAAAAACCAGACUAGUACAACCCAAACACUAAAGUCUCCUGCAGCCUACCAGAGAACCUCUGAGAACAGAGAAUCAGGACAGGAACUCUUACCUUCUGGACAACCAACGCUGGUUCACAAACAAGAAUACAGAAUGUGUCUGACCAAAAACCUCUGAAGACUCACUACAGCCAAGAUAAAGACACAACUCAGCUGCACCAAAUCCACUAAUCACUGCACACAUUAGCACCAUGUGCUAACUGUGACUAAAGAACCUCAUUUACCAAGACAACUAUCCAGUACAAAGCCCUAAAACACACCAAGAAACACAUUAAAGAUGAUUUUACUGCUGGAAGCUGCAAGCCAACACCUAAAGCACAAACUAAAGCAAAGGAGCCAAACCCGGUUCACUGGUGAAGAGAAACAGAGGAAAUGUUUUUCUGCAGCUAAAUAAAGCAGGAAGACACUGAGCUGCUCAGGUGUUCCUGAUAACACCAAGCUGCUCAGGUGUUCCUGAUAACACCAAGCAGCCACCUGGACAGCCAAUAGGAACACAGCUUCCUGGAAGUCCAGAGGGCGGGGUUAGUGAAGGAAAUUUAAUUUAAAGUUGAAGCAGAAAGUUAACAAAGAAAGUUGAGAACCACCUUCUGAUACCUGAAAUCUCUGAGUUUUCACUCAAAGAACACCUGAACAUGUCAAACUGGUUCCAUAGUAGAACCAUCAUUGUAAAAACGUCAUAGUAUGGUGUGUUGCUCAAAAAACAUUAUGACCCGGCUGUCAGGGGACAAACAUGUAAGAAACAUGAGAACAGAGAGAACCCAACCAGUAGGUCACAGUUUAUCAUCAUCUAAUCAUCUCCUGAAGUCCAUAUGGUGAGAGACAUCAGUAUCUGGUUGUUAAUUUACCAGAGGAUGCUUAUAAUCAUGCUGAUGUGGUCUGUACUCUACAGUAUUUUAGUGACUCAAUAAAUGCCUACGUUUUUUUUUUUUUUAAUGCUUUUCAGUUUUUAAUAAACAUUUAAGAGCCUAUAUGUAAUCAAUAAAUGACCUUUGCCUAUCUUAAGAAAAAUUCACUCAGAACUCUGAUAUGUUAACAGUACUAAAUAAAUCAAUAAAUACAUGCAUACACACAAAAAUAAGUUAAUACAUUAACUGUGUUAAGAUAAGAUUUAGAUUUUUUUUUAAAAAGUUGUUUAUGUUUUUACAGAAUCCAGUAUUGCUCACUGGUUGGUCAUUACAUUUUAUUAGUUUGAUUUCACUGUUUAAAAUGAUGCCACCUCUUUUCAGACAGAACCUGUGAUAAUAAAACAAUACUAAAUUUUUAGUUCCGUGUUAAUAAAGUACUUAAAGCUUUAAGUAUGGCUAAAUGCUUUUUUCAAAAUUAAAUAUAUCACUACUUAGGUGGUAGUGGCCCCAAGUUCAGUAAAGUUGGAAAGAUAUUCACAGAUUCAGACUUCCAGCAUCAAUAACUCAUUAGAUAUAGGUUGUCAAAACAUAAACGGUGCCUCUUUCCCAUUGUUGCAAGGCAGACAAUGUGCUACAAGCCCAGUUUUAUCAAAAGUAGCUGUCUUUCAAGCUACAGGAAUAACAUUGGUGUCUAUGGAGUGAACAGGGUCCGUCUGCAAUUUGCAAAACCGCUGCAACAGUAAAGAGAGACAAAUAUUCAAUAACUUCACUCUUAUACAUUGUAGUGUCACUAAAAUCACUGCAGCCUUCAACUGGCUCCUGUUGACAAAGUGUUUUAACAGAAAUGUAAAUGCUGUAAUUUGAUUCUUUUAAUAAACCAUGUAACUUGAA